AUGUGAUUCUGCUGUGAUGGACACUUGAUCUUGAGAUGACGUCAUACUGGAUGAUCCUAGUGCACCCUAAAUCCAAUAAGUGUUCUUAUGAAAGACAGAAGAGGAGAAGAUACAGGAAAUAGAAGAAGGCUACUUGAGGAUGGAAGCAGAGCUUGGAGUUAUGCAGCUACAAACCAAAGAAUGCCUUGAGCCACCAGCAGCUGAAAGAGCUAGUCAGCAAUACAACUGGGAUUUGAUAUCAGAUUCAUACGAUUCCGAAGACCCUGACCACCAAAUGCAAAAGGAUAAGAGGGCAUCUCUUCUUCCAUAUUCAUAAAUACGUUGCCAACAGGAAUUUGUUGUUAUUUACACUUUCUUCUCCUAGACAUUUUAAUUUUACUUACCUUCCCUGAGCACAUGGCAAAGUCAAAACACAAGCAGAAUCUUACUUAUGAAUAGAGGCAGAUUUAUUAAGCCAGGGGUAGGCAAACUAUAGCCAAUGAGCCAAAGCCAGGCUGCCACGGGUUUUUAUAAAUAAAAUUUUAUAGGAACUCAGCCACAGACAUUCCUUUACAUAUUGCCUACAGCUGCUUAAGCACUACAAAGGCAAAGUUGCAUAUUUACAACACAAAUAAUAUGGCCUGCAAGCCUAAAGUAUCUACUAUCGUGCCCUUUAUAGAAAAUGUUUAUCAGCUUUUGUUCUCUUAUCCUAAGUUAUGAGGCUUACAUUUCCGGCCACCUCAUUUGCAUUUGAGUUUCCAGUUUUGAGUUUGUAGUUUUGUAUUCUUGCUUAAAGAGCCCCAAACCCUGACCGCCAAAUUGAAUGUGCUGUAGAUCCCACAAAAUAUGGAUCCAAUCAAGCUGAUGCCAUGUCAUUAUCUGUAGCUUUUAUUCUUUGCCAUCACACACCUUCCUUGAACAGUUAGGCUUCUGCAAAAAAUCUUAAAUAAUCACUGAUAUGGGUUGGUUCUGUGUCUUCACCCAAAUCUCAUCUUGUAGCUCCCAUAAUUUCCACGUGUUAUGGGAAGGAUCCAGUGGGAGAUGUCUGAAUCAUGAGGGCACGUAUGUCCCAUGCUGUUCCCAUGAUAGUGAAUGGAUCUCACGAGAUCUGAUGGUGUUAAAAAUGGGAGUUUCUCCACACAAUCUC
rnacentral:lncRNA from 1 species